GACGAACGCUGGCGGCGUGCCUAAUACAUGCAAGUCGAACGCAGUGGGGACGGGUGAGUAACACGUGGGUAACCUCCUAUCAGAGGGGAUAACACUUGGAAACAGGUGCUAAACCGAUACCGUUGGAUGGCCCCGCGGUGCAUUGGCUAGUUGGUGAGGGACCGGCACACCAAGGCUGAGAGGCCUAACCGACAUGAGAGGAUGAUGUGCCACACUGGGACUGAGACACGGCCCCGACGCCUACGGGAGGCAGCAGUAGGGAAGCUUCGGCAAUGGAAGAAAGUCUGACCGAGCAACGCCGCGUGAGUGAAGAAGGUUUUCGGAUCGUAAAACUCUUUUGUUAGAGAAGCGGUAUCUAACCAGAAAGCCACGGCUAACUACGUGCCAGCAGCCGCGGUAAUUC
rnacentral:rRNA from 1 species